ACGCUGUGAUGAGGUCAGAAAAGUUAUUUAGGGUUCAGGCCACCUGGGCUGGUGGGCUCUCUGUUUUUUCCCUGGGUCCCCUCUGCGGAGGGGACGGGGAAGGCUGGAAUGCUUGCUAGAGCCUGAGGCCAGGUAGUAUAGAGAAUCAGGGUUUCAAGUCAAGUAGCUGUGUGGGUUUUGGACUAGGAGUCCAGGGCAGGAGCUGGUAGCUCACCCCCACAACCACUCAAGCAGGAACAGAGAUCAGCGCUCCCCAGCAGCUCGGUGGAGUCACAUCAGCAGGAAUCCAGGGCAGGAGCAGAGAUCAGCACUCCCCAGAAACUCGGCAGAAUUACGUCAACUCACCGAAGGGCCCUUCACAAUGCAGAGGGAACCGGUCCCCCCAGAGGACAGCAACGUCCACCUUUCCUUUGAGAAGGAGUUGCAGCACAUCAAAUAGUAAAAGAAGUCUUAAUGAAAGAAAAAUAGAGCAUCUUGCCUUCGCUAAGAAACAGAGCUCUUUCUUCCAUACAACCCAUCAGAAGAAGCCCAAAAGGAAUCAAGCACAUUCUGUAAAGAAAACACACCUUGGAGUGGAGGGUAGGGAGAAGACAUUAAGCAGUAAAAACACUGAACCAAAGGCUUGCUGUGAAUUAGAGUCAAAUAUAAAAGGAACAAAAGAUGCUUAUGUACCAACCAUAAUUUAUGGCCUUCGCUCUCUCAGUGAAAUUAAGGACAUGGAUACACAUAACCAGUUUAAUGUGGUUUAAACCUUACACUGAGGUCCCUGACAGAUGUUAAAAUAAAGGUGUAAUGGGAUCUAAUGCGGGAUCCCAACCAUCACACUUCCUGCCAUGCUACACGUGCAUGGUAGGAGAUGCAAUUGUGGGAUCUCAGAUCAGAUCCCCAUUAUGCCAUAUUGCUGAUGCAGACAGAGACAAUCCUGGGCUUCUCUCCACCAGCAAGUAGCAAACUUGGCUCCCAUCUGGGGAAGCAUACAAUGCACUACAGGUGACCCUCGCCAUUCGCAGGGGAUACGUUCUUGAGAUCCCUGUGAAUGGCGAAAUCUGCAAACAUGGCACUGCAUUCAUGAACACAGUGCCCACGGCAGCUUGGGGGUGGGGGGGACGGCUGCACUGGUGGUGGUGGGAGCCCAGCGGUGGAAAGCACAGAGCUCCCAAGGAUCUCCUGUAAGUGUAUUUAAGAUGUGGGUUUGGCAUCCACUAAUAUUUGAAACUGCGAAUACUGAACCCGCAAAUAGCAAGGGUUUCCUGUACUGUGACUGGGCUCCCUGUCAGCUGGCUGGAGUUCCCAGCCAAGACAGCAUACCAUGCACUCCCAUGGCUGGGAGCCCCACCUGCUGAUUGGACCUCCCAGUGGGGAAACGUAUCUCUUUAAUCAGGUUUUAAGUGUAAUGUCCAUCAGAGGCCUAACAAACACCACAUAGGUGGUGGAAUCUCUAUCCUUGGAGGUUUUUAAGGCCCAACUUAACAAAGCCCUGGUUGGAAUGAUCUAGUUGGAGAUGGUCCUGCUUUGAAUACAGGGUUAGAUUAGAUGACCUCCUGAGGUCCCUUCCAACCCUAAUUUUCUAUGAUUCCAAACAUAGAAGUCUAUUAAAUGGGUUAAAAGUCACCUUGCAUGGUUUAAAAACGUACCUGGAAAAUCAAAUACUCUUUUGAGCUGGUUCACAGUGCACUAGUUCAGUGUUAUGUAUGGAUAGUGUUCUGUGCAGUGAAUCUAGUCAGUGCUCCAGGAAUUGCAUACUGCAUCAAUCCUCCCUCCUCCCACAAACACAUGCACGCACCAACAGGCUGCUCUGCUACACAGGCAGAACUCAACUGCUCCCCUUAUUUUCCUUUUGUUUGAACUUUUAAAAAAUCAAUUAGCUCCUUUGCACUGCUUGUUCAAUAAAAGCCAUCUUUCUAACAAC